GGUGAGUAACACGUGGGUAACCUACCUCAUAGUGGGGGAUAACAGUCGGAAACGACUGCUAAUACCGCAUAGGACAUGGGAUCACAUGAUUCUGUGAGGAAAGGUGGCGCAAGCUAUCGCUAAGAGAUGGACCCGCGGUGCAUUAGCUAGUUGGUAGGGUAAGGGCCUACCAAGGCGAUGAUGCAUAGCCGACCUGAGAGGGUGAUCGGCCACAUUGGGACUGAGACACGGCCCAAACUCCUACGGGAGGCAGCAGUAGGGAAUCUUCCGCAAUGGACGCAAGUCUGACGGAGCAACGCCGCGUGAGUGAAGAAGGUCUUCGGAUCGUAAAGCUCUGUUGUUAGAGAAGAACAGCGCAUAGAGUAACUGUUAUGCGUGUGACGGUAUCUAACCAGAAAGCCACGGCUAACUACGUGCCAGCAGCCGCGGUAAUACGUAGGUGGCGAGCGUUGUCCGGAUUUAUUGGGCGUAAAGGGAGUGUAGGCGGUCUUUUAAGUCUGAUGUGAAAGCCCACGGCUCAGCCGUGGAGGGUCAUUGGAAACUGGGAGACUUGAGUGCAGAAGAGGAGAGCGGAAUUCCAUGUGUAGCGGUGAAAUGCGUAGAUAUAUGGAGGACACCAGUGGCGAAGG
rnacentral:rRNA from 1 species